rnacentral:rRNA from 1 species
CCUACGGGCGGCAGCAGUGAGGAAUAUUGGUCAAUGGGCGCGAGCCUGAUCCAGCCAAGUCGCGUGAGGGAUGACGGUCCUACGGAUUGUAAACCUCUUUUGCCGGGGAGCAAGCGUGCGUUCGUGAACGCGCGUCGAGAGUACCCGGAGAAAAAGCAUCGGCUAACUCCGUGCCAGCAGCCGCGGUAAUACGGAGGAUGCGAGCGUUAUCCGGAUUUAUUGGGUUUAAAGGGUGCGUAGGCGGGAUGCCAAGUCAGCGGUAAAAAUGCGGUGCUCAACGCCGUCGAGCCGUUGAAACUGGCGUUCUUGAGGGGGCGAGAAGUAUGCGGAAUGCGUGGUGUAGCGGUGAAAUGCAUAGAUAUCACGCAGAACUCCGAUUGCGAAGGCGACUAUCUGGCACAUAACUGACGCUGAGGAGCGAAAGCGUGGGUAGCAAACAGGAUUAGAUACCCCUGUAGUC